rnacentral:lncRNA from 14 species
UUUGAAGUAAGAAACAUGUGCAUCCUUACUAAAGUGCAUUGAAGACGUCUGCAACAUUAGUUCCAGAUGCAGAGACAGCAUUCACUGGAUCUUCCCUGUGAGCAUGGAGGAUGCUGGAAAUACCAACCUCUCAUUUAAGAGUACCUCCUGAAUGUAAAUAUCAGUGAUUUUCCUCCUAAACCAGAACUAGAGAUUCCUGCUGGACAAUUGGAGGAAUCCGACUCAUCCUACAUCCAGGAGCAUUUCAAAGAAUUCCAGAAAUCCUGCUUUGAGGUUAAAUGAAAAUAAGAUGCUUCAGUUUGAUGACCUGCGAUUCCUAUGGCCACAGCAUGAAGACUGGCUGCAGACACUGA